rnacentral:misc_RNA from 1 species
UUUCCGUAGGUGAACCUGCGGAAGGAUCAUUAUUGUAUAACCGAGGUGCGAGUGCUUUCGCUGACCCGAAAGGUCGUGCACGCCCGAGUGCCCUCACCCCCAUCCAUCUCACCCCUAUGUGCACCACCGCGUGGGUCCCCCUUUGGCUUGUUCGGAGGGGGGAUUACGUUUUCACACAAACUUUGUAUGCAGUUUAGAAUGUAUUUUUUUUUUUUGCGAUCACGCAAUCAAUACAACUUUCAACAACGGAUCUCUUGGCUCUC